CUACACGGCAAAAAACGCUCAGGUUGAUGCAAUACUGAUGAAAACAGGAUUGAACAAUGCUUUGCUGCCCACAUUGUUCACAGUUGUCAACAAUAUUGAACAAUGUUGUUACACCCGAUUCAGGCUCAACAACAUUGUUCAGUAUUGUUGACAAGUGUGAACAACGUGGGCAGCAAAACAUUGUUCAGUCCUGUUGAGCAACGGGCUCGGCGUUUUUUGCCGUG